GAUGAACGCUGGCGGCGUGCCUAAUACAUGCAAGUCGAGCGAACAGACGAGGAGCUUGCUCCUCUGACGUUAGCGGCGGACGGGUGAGUAACACGUGGAUAACCUACCUAUAAGACUGGGAUAACUUCGGGAAACCGGAGCUAAUACCGGAUAAUAUAUUGAACCGCAUGGUUCAAUAGUGAAAGACGGUUUUGCUGUCACUUAUAGAUGGAUCCGCGCCGCAUUAGCUAGUUGGUAAGGUAACGGCUUACCAAGGCAACAAUGCGUAGCCGACCUGAGAGGGUGAUCGGCCACACUGGAACUGAGACACGGUCCAGACUCCUACGGGAGGCAGCAGUAGGGAAUCUUCCGCAAUGGGCGAAAGCCUGACGGAGCAACGCCGCGUGAGUGAUGAAGGUCUUCGGAUCGUAAAACUCUGUUAUUAGGGAAGAACAAAUGUGUAAGUAACUAUGCACGUCUUGACGGUACCUAAUCAGAAAGCCACGGCUAACUACGUG
rnacentral:rRNA from 1 species